AUUGAACGCUGGCGGCAUGCUUUACACAUGCAAGUCGAACGGCAGCGCGGGCUUCGGCCUUGCGGCGAGUGGCGAACGGGCGAGUAAUGAAUCCGAACGUGCCCAGCCUAUGGGGAUAGCCUGACGACAGCAGGCUUAAUACCGCACCCGACCUGAGGGUGAAAGCGGGGGACCGAAAGGCCUCGCGCUAUUGGAGCGCCCGAAGUCGGAUUACCUAGUUGGUGGGGUAAAGGCUUACCAAGGCGACGAUCCGUAGCUGGUCUGAGAGGACGACCAGCCACACUGGGACUGAGACACGGCCCAGACUCCUACGGGAGGCAGCAGUGGGGAAUUUUGGACAAUGGGGGCAACCCUGAUCCAGCCAUGCCGCGUGCGGGAAGAAGGCCUUCGGGUUGUAAACCGCUUUUGUUCGGGAAGAAAUCCUCUGGGCUAAUACCCCGGGGGGAUGACGGUACCGGAAGAAUAAGCACCGGCUAACUACGUG
rnacentral:rRNA from 1 species